GUGAGGAAUAUUGCACAAUGGGCGAAAGCCUGAUGCAGCAACGCCGCGUGAGUGAUGAAGGCCUUUGGGUCGUAAAACUCUGUCCUUGGGGAAGAAAAAAAUGACGGUACCCUUGGAGGAAGCCCCGGCUAACUACGUGCCAGCAGCCGCGGUAAUACGUAGGGGGCGAGCGUUAUCCGGAAUUAUUGGGCGCAAAGAGUGCGUAGGUGGUUUUGUAAGCGUAGGGUGAAAGGCAGUAGCUCAACUAUUGUUAGCCCUGCGAACUGUGAGACUUGAGUGCAGGGGAGGAAAGUGGAAUUCCUAGUGUAGCGGUGAAAUGCGUAGAUAUUAGGAGGAACACCAGUGGCGAAGGCGACUUUCUGGACUGUAACUGACACUGAGGCACGAAAGCGUGGGUAGCAAACAGGAUUAGAUACACCUGUAGUCC
rnacentral:rRNA from 1 species